CGCCGUGCCGACCCCGGGACCCCCUAAACCCCGCCGCUCCUGGUGCUCCCGUCCCGCGGGUGCCGCCUGGUUGUACCCCCGCGGGUGUGCGAAGCCCCCGCAGCCCUCGGGGGAGAGCAGCGCCCGGCUCCCCCUUCCCGCUGUCCGCGCACCCGUGGGGCUUUGCCGGCCGCAGCCUUGUGGAAGGAGCGGGGCCGGAUCACCGUGGGCGGGAGGAGCCGCUCGGCAGGGCCCGGACACGGCUCCACCCCGGCUGCUUCUCCAACAGCUGCCAGAUCACAGGAGGCAUUGAGGUUGAGAUGGAUCCUAAAAUCUGACUCUCAGGGAAGUGGACCACUUGAGGAUUGAAUUCACAACCUUGGCACGACUAGGAUUCUGCUCCAACCAGCUGAGCUAAUCUCUGAGUGAGGGGGGUGGAUCUCCCCAGGAUGGGAAUCCUUAGCACCACUAAGGGAAGUACAGAGCCUUCUUUUCUGCUGAAGCUGCUUUACACACCUGCCCCUGGAAGCUCUUCCAAUAACACUGACUUCCUGCCCUUUCCAGGAUUUAACCAACAGCCAUAAAAGUGCUCACACAAUGUCCUUUUCCAGACAGAAAUGAGCCAGACGAGUCCCGAGGCUUCCCUUGCUCCACAGCCAAAGCUCUGGAGAGAGGCAGGGCUGGUCCCACCUGCGGAGGGGCGUUUCCUGAAGGUGAGUGUUGCCAGGCCAAUAUGAUGGUGGCUGCUGAGGCUGGGGCUGCUUUUCCAGCCCAGAGCUGCACAGAGGCCUCGGUGCCUCCCCUUGCUGCCAGCAGUGUUCUUUGGCGUUUCCUGCACAUCUUGGGCUGCCGGGAACGUGGGGCGGGAGGAGGCCGGCAGCCCCUGAAAGGCAACCAGCACUUCUUGUCCUUGGGGUGUGCAGGGGAGGAGCCGUGGGCUCCUCUGCACAGGCCAGGGGCUGCUCUGCACGGGCACGGGGAGAUGCUUCACCCCGCACGGAGGCCACCGAGAGCCCCGAGGCGCCCCGAGGAGCAGCUGGCACUGCCUGGGCACGGGCGGCUCGGGCCAUCCGCAGAGGGGCUCAGACGGCGAUUCCCGGUCCCCACCUCCCGGAGCUCCCCCGCGGCUGCCAGGUAUGUCCUGGCCACCCCAAAUCCCCCCUUUCCAGCCUGAGGACAUUAUCCAUCAGCAGCAUGAAAGCCAAGGCAAUUUUCCCUCACAGAAAUGAAAUCCUGAGCAAUAGCCCUCGGAGAUGCCUUAAAAUCAAAGGCUCAAGCGGGAUGAAGUUAUCUUUGGAUGAUGCUUGGAGUUUUUCAGGGAGCCGGCUGGAGGCACGGAAGUGAUGGAAAGCUUUUCCAGAUGCUGGAGGUUGCUUCUGUGGAUGUGUGCUGAGCUCUCACUACAGGGAACUGUCAGGCCUGAAUGGCUGGGAGUUCGUGUUCUUCUCACUGGGGAAUCAGAAAUAAAUAGGAAUUAGACUGCAGAAAUGUUUUCUGAAACCUUUCCCCUUUGCUGGAAGAUCUUCUCUUUCUGCCUUUGAAUCUACAGCUGUUCCCUGAUGUUGUUUCCCCUGCCUGAAUUCCUUGCAGCUCCUAGCUGGGAAAAACUGGGAUAACUUAGAGGGGAUAGAGCAGUCCCCAGUGAUCUCCGCUUCCCUGGAAAACCCACUCCAGCCCCAGAGUGUACCAAGGGGAGCACAACUCUGGAGAGGUCACAGCCCUCACCUGGACCGAAGCACUUGGAGCGA